GACGAACCGAGCGAACGUUGUUCGGAAUUACUGGGCGUAAAGGGCGCGUAGGCGGAUGUUCAAGUCGGGGGUGAAAUCCCGGGGCUCAACCCCGGAACUGCCUCCGAUACUGGACGUCUUGAGGACGGAAGAGGCGAGUGGAAUGCCGAGUGUAGAGGUGAAAUUCGUAGAUAUUCGGCGGAACACCAGUGGCGAAGGCGGCUCGCUGGUCCGUUUCUGACGCUGAGGCGCGAAAGCGUGGGGAGCAAACAGG
rnacentral:misc_RNA from 1 species